CCUACGGGAGGCAGCAGUGGGGAAUAUUGCACAAUGGGGGAAACCCUGAUGCAGCGACGCCGCGUGAGUGAAGAAGUAUUUCGGUAUGUAAAGCUCUAUCAGCAGGGAAGAAAAUGACGGUACCUGACUAAGAAUCCCCGGCUAACUACGGGACAGCAGCCGCGGUAAUACGUAGGGGGCAAGCGUUCUCCGGAUUUACUGGGUGUAAAGGGAGCGUAGGUGGCAUGGUAAGCCAGAAGUGAAAACCCCGGGCUCAACUCUGUGGAUUGCGUUUGGAACUAUCAAGCUAGAGUGCUGGAGGGGUAAGCGGAAUUCCUGGUGCAGCGGUGAAAUGCGUAGAUAUUAGGAGGAACACCGGUGGCGAAGGCGACUUACUGGACAGAAACUGACACUGAGGCUCGAAAGCGUGGGGAGCAAACAGGAUUAGAUACCCUGGUAGUC
rnacentral:rRNA from 1 species